GAGCACUGUUUCGGCAAGGGGGUCAUCCCGACUUACCAACCCGAUGCAAACUGCGAAUACCGGAGAAUGUUAUCACGGGAGACACACGGCGGGUGCUAACGUCCGUCGUGAAGAGGGAAACAACCCAGACCGCCAGCUAAGGUCCCAAAGUCAUGGUUAAGUGGGAAACGAUGUGGGAAGGCCCAGACAGCCAGGAUGUUGGCUUAGAAGCAGCCAUCAUUUAAAGAAAGCGUAAUAGCUCACUGGUCGAGUCGGCCUGCGCGGAAGAUGUAACGGGGCUAAACCAUGCACCGAAGCUGCGGCAGCGACACUAUGUGUUGUUGGGUAGGGGAGCGUUCUGUAAGCCUGUGAAGGUGUGCUGUGAGGCACGCUGGAGGUAUCAGAAGUGCGAAUGCUGACAUAAGUAACGAUAAAGCGGGUGAAAAGCCCGCUCGCCGGAAGACCAAGGGUUCCUGUCCAACGUUAAUCGGGGCAGGGUGAGUCGACCCCUAAGGCGAGGCCGAAAGGCGUAGUCGAUGGGAAACAGGUUAAUAUUCCUGUACUUGGUGUUACUGCGAAGGGGGGACGGAGAAGGCUAUGUUGGCCGGGCGACGGUUGUCCCGGUUUAAGCGUGUAGGCUGGUUUUCCAGGCAAAUCCGGAAAAUCAAGGCUGAGGCGUGAUGACGAGGCACUACGGUGCUGAAGCAACAAAUGCCCUGCUUCCAGGAAAAGCCUCUAAGCAUCAGGUAACAUCAAAUCGUACCCCAAACCGACACAGGUGGUCAGGUAGAGAAUACCAAGGCGCUUGAGAGAACUCGGGUGAAGGAACUAGGCAAAAUGGUGCCGUAACUUCGGGAGAAGGCACGCUGAUAUGUAGGUGAAGUCCCUCGCGGAUGGAGCUGAAAUCAGUCGAAGAUACCAGCUGGCUGCAACUGUUUAUUAAAAACACAGCA
rnacentral:rRNA from 1 species